rfam:Brachypodium distachyon strain Bd21 chromosome 2, whole genome shotgun sequence.
AUUAUACUUCCUCCGAUCUAAAUUAAUUGUCGCAUCUUUGUCUAGAUACGCAUAUAUCUAGACACGUUUGAGUGUAUAGGUGCAUGCAUAUCUAUACAAAGUUGCGACAAUUAAUUUGGAUCGGAGAGAAUGUGAC